CCGGGCCUGCCGCCCUGCGGGAAAGCCUCGGGCCAGCGCGGGAUUCGGCCCCGCAGAGCUGCCGUCCCGCCUGGGGACCCCAGGAGACCCGAGGGGGCGCGCGGAGGCCUGGGGUGCGGGGGCAGGGCUCGGCUGCUGCGGGGCCUGCCGGCCCGAGGCCUAACCGGCGCCCCCGGCCCGCCGCGCUCCCCCACCCGGCCCGCGCAGGCCGCGCCGCUCGCCCCACUCCAGCUCGGGCCGGAUCCCUGGCCGCCCGCCGUCGCUGCCCGCGGGCGCCCCCGAGGACCCUAGCCCCCAGGCUUCCGCCACCCCGGCGCCGGCCCCACUCACCCUUUCAUUCUCCGCCCUGGGCCUGGCGUGGGCCGGCGAAUCCCCGGCCUCACGUAAGCGCGCUCGCCGCCCGCCCUGCCUGCGCAGCUCAGCCCGCCGCCCUACGGGAGCCCGGGGAUGUGGGCCGGGCCUGGGGCCGCCUCUGCUUACCUUUCAGCUGCUUUUUUUUUUUUCCUCCUUCCCCCCUUUUCCCUCCGCUGGGCUGACAGAUCAGAGUGAGAGGCGCUGGCAAUGGACUAGGAAGCUCGGCUGCAGCUGCUACUGCACCCCCCUGGGCUCCAGCGAGAGCCUUUCUCUGUCAAACAAGAGGGGUGAGGAUCAUAUUUUUAUUUUGGAAACUAAAAAGUGCUCCCAGGGUCGGUGAUUAUUAAGGGGAAAUCCCUGAAUAUACUCUCCAGCCAAGAAGGCAGGGCUGCCGGGGCUGCACAAGAAGAGGCAGCAGCCUCCUACAGCACCACUACAGGCACUGCGAGGACAUAACACCAGAGCAACUCCUCUGCCCUCCGAAACGACAACUUUCCUACCAUCUUGGAGGCAGAGGAAAGGGGGGCCGGGGGAAAAAGUGCACCCGCUCCCGAUAAAGUAGAAAUUUUUACUUCUCAUCUCUGGGAAAAUGUCCACACCUGCCGUCUACACAGGCGCUUAGGGGCAAAAGCAGGGAAGAAACUGUGGGUGCAUGGGAAACGUUUUCAUUUGCUCCAGAGGGAAAAAUGUUUCUGCAUCUUCUGAUGGAAAGAAAUCUUUACAAGGCACAGGUUUUCCGAGCCUCAAGCUGUCUCCCUGGGUAGAAUGCCGUGGCAUCACAGCUCACAGCAACCUCAAACUCCUGGGCUUAAGCGAUUCUCUUGCCUCAGCCUCCCAAGCAGCUGGGACUACAGGUACCACCGCUUUCUUGUGAUUAAAUGGGUAAUGCAUUUGGGCAAGAAUCUCAGACAUGAUUUCCUGUGAGGGAGUACCUGAUGUCUAUAUGUAUUAUUACUGCUUGUAUAGUUUUCUAUUGCUGCCACAACAAAUUAUCACAAAUGUAGCAACUUAAAACAUUUAUUAUUUCAUAUUAGUAUUUCCAUAGGUUAGAUACAGAUUAAUGAGAGUAUUAAUUUCCAUUUGCUGUCCUGACAAAUUGCCUCAAAUUUAGUAGCUUACAACAACAAAAAUAUAUUAUCUCACAAUUCUAGAGAAAAUCCAAAUGGUUUAUAACAGGCUAAAAUUAAGAUGUCAGCAGGGUGGCAUUCCUUCUGGAGGCUUUGGGGGGUAAUCCAAUCCCUUGCUUUUCCCAGCUUCCAAAAGCUACCUGAACUCCUUGGCUUGUCAUCCCUUUCUGUAUCUUUAAAGCCCACAGCAUAGAAUCUUCUAAUCUUCCUCUGACUCUAAUCCUCCUGUGUUGCUUUUAUAAGGAUCCUUCUGAUUACAUUGCCCCCCCCCCCAAAUUCCAGGAUUAUCUCCCAUUUUAAGAUCCUUAGUUAAAUCACAUCUACAAAAUCCCUUUUGCCAUGUAAGAGAACAUAUUCACAGGGUCAAGGGAUAGGACAUGGACAGCUUUGGGAAUGAUUUUUCUGCCUACCUCAUGAAUAUUUGGGCUAAUGAAUAAUCAGUCCACAUAAAUCAGGCAAAAGGAAAAUACCCUUACUAUAACGUUACUUUUUCUUCUUAGCCCAGCAAGUAGCUUUUUAAAAAACUGCAAUAGGCUGAGCUUGGUGGCUCAUGCCUGUAAUCCCAAGUGGCUGGGACUAUAGGGCUGGCCACAAUGCCCGGCUAUUUUUUGGUUGUAGUUGUCGUUGUUUGGCAGGCCCAGCUGGAUUCGAAUGUUGCGACCGCAUAAAUUAUCACGAGAGACACGGAUUGACAAUACACAUUGCAAAAGGUAAGGCUACUCCCACAUGCAGGAUAGCCCCGAGCACUUCUCGCAGAUGCCAGGAGAAUGUCUUGUUCUCAGUAAUUCCUCAGAUGAGUUAUGAUAUUGGUGGCUGUUGUAGUAUGAUGUUUAAUCCUCUAUAUUUGAACCCGCCAGCUGCAGUGUAUUUGGCUGGCACCCUAGCUGCUUGAGCUAAAGGCGCGAAGCCAUAACAUACACUUUUUUUUUCUUAUUGUUGGGGAUUCACUGAGGGUACAAGAAACCAGGUUACACUGAUUGCGUUUGUUAGGUAAAGUCCCUCUUGCAAUCAUGUCUUGCCCCCAAAAGGUGUGGCACACACCAAGGCCCCACCCCCCUCCCUCCUUCCCUCUCUCUGCUCUUCCUUUCCCUACCCCUCCCUCCUUCUUUCUCUCUCUGCUCUCCCCUUCCCUCACCCCUACCAUGUCCUUAAUUGUCCUCACAUCAAAAUUGAGUACAUAGGAUUCAUGCUUCUCCAUUCUUGUGAUGCUUUACAAGAAUAAUGUGGUCCACUUCCAUCCAGGUUAAUACAAAGGAUGUAAAGUCUCCAUUUUUUUUUUUUUGUAGAGACAGAGUUUCACUUUAUUGCCCUCAGUAGAGUGCCGUGGCCUCACACAGCUCACAGCAACCUCCAACUCCUGGGCUUAGGCGAUUCUCCUGCCUCAGCCUCCCGAGUAGCUGGGACUACAGGCGCCUGCCACAACGCCCAGCUAUUUUUUGGUUGCAGUUUGGCUGGGGCUGGGUUUGAACCCACCACCCUCGGUAUAUGGGGCCAGCACCCUGCUCACUGAGCCACAGGCGCCGCCCAAGUCUCCAUUUUUUUAAUGGCUGAAUUGUAUUCCAUGGUAUACAUAUACCACAGCUUGUUAAUCCAUUCCUGGGUUGGUGGGCAUUUAGGCUGUUUCCACAUUUUGGCGAUUGUAAAUUGAGCUGCAAAAAAUAGUCUAGUGCAAGUGUCCUUAUGAUAAAAGGAUUUUUUUUUUUUUUUUUAGAUGCUCAGUAAUGGGAUUGCAGGAUCAAAUGGGAGGUCUAGCUUGAGUACUUUGAGGUUUCUCCAUAACAUAUACUUUUCAAUGUAAGUUAUUUAAAAAUGUUAAGCUAUCAGAAUGUCGUCUUAAAUCAAUGUUGACAGUCUACCUGUAAACAUUCAGUGGUGAGAAACACAAGAACAUUUUAAGUGGAAGAUACUUGGUUUUGAGAUCCUUGUUUUCUUUUGUUUUGUUUUUUUCUUUUUCUUUUUGACAGAAUUCUUUGUUGCCCUCAGUAGAGUGCCAUAGAAUCCUAACUCACAGCAACCUCAAACUCUUAGGCUCAAGCAAUUCUCUUGCCUCAGACUCCCAAGUAGCUGAGAGUACAGGAGUCUGCCACAACACCCAGCUAUCUUUUAGAGACAAGGUUUCGCUGUGGCUCAGGCUGGUCUCGAACCUAUGAGCUCAGACAAUCCACCUGCCUCAGCCUCCCAGAGUACUAGGAUUACAGGCAUGAGCCAUGGCGCCCGGCUAUUCCAAGAUUUUUCCAGAAUGCCUUCUUCACUUAAAGGAACAUGACCAUGAGCUUUUACAGACUUUCUCAUUGGUGACUCCAUCAUUGCUUAGCAUAUCAGGAUUCCAUCAGCCAGGUUAUUCCCUUCUACACAUAUAUUUCUUCUAUUUGGGAGCUCUUCUUCGGUCUUUUAUUCUCUAGCAACAUCUAAAGAAUGUUUAUGCUUAUGAUAACCUUAAUAUUUAGUAUUUUUUUUGCAGUUUUUGGCCAAGGCUGGGUUUGAACCCACCACCUCUGGCAUAUGGGGCUGGCGCCCUACUCCUUUGAGCCACAGGCGCCGCCCUUAAUAUUUAGUAUUAUGACACUAAUAUGUGCCCAUAAUACAGACUGAGCACUAUUCACUUACACCCUAAACAAGGUAUCCUUUAGAGAAUUUCAAGUUGUUCAACACAUACUGCCUAGAGGACAGCCCAAAGAUUCUGGAUCAACUUAGCUGUAUAACACCUCUGUUCCACUUGAACGCAGUGUUCUUUCACCAACAACCCUAUGAAGUCUGCACAUAUUCACUGAAGAGUACUGAGUAAAAUACAAACCUAGGUAUAUGUCCCCUUGAGGUCGGCAUAGUGCUAAGGAAUGAAGAAGGUAGAGAGGAAUAGAAAGUUUGUAUUAAAUUCUAACACUCUGGGCAAGAAUUUACACAAUCUCAUACAACUGGGAGUUUUAUGCAAAGUACAGAACCUCUAUCGUUGACCGCCUUCCUACAUUAACCACCUCCCUUAAGUUGACCUAAUUUUCAUAGACCAGACAUGUACCACAUGUACAUAAUCAGUACAACAGGCCUAGUUCCUAAUGUAGACUACCUCUAUAUGUCGACUGUUUGUUACAGCCCCUUGGGCGGUCAACUUAUACAAGUUCUACUGUAUCUAAAUCAAAGCACACAGUUUCAUGAUGUACCACUAAAGAGGAGAAAAUAAAUAGUUCUGAAAAAGCUACUACAUGUGACAAAUGUUGUACAACUUUUAAAGAUAAAGUAUUAAUGAGCUAUUACAACUCCAAAAAUCUUACCCUGGCCAGGCAAAGUGGCUCACACCUGUAAUCUUAGCACUCUAGGAGGCUGAGAUAGGUAGACUGCUUGAGCUCAGGAGUUGGUGACCACCUAAGAAAGAGCAGGACACUAUCUCUACUAAAAAUAGAAAAAUUAGUCAGGUGUUAUGGCAGGUACUUGUUGUACCAGCAACUUGGGAGGCUAAGGGAAAAGGAGCGCUUCAGUCCAAGAGUUUGCGGUUUUUGUGAGCUAUGAUUAGGCCACAGCACUCAACCCAAGGUGACAGAGCAAGACUGUCUCAAAAAUAAAUAAAUAGAAAUAAAAUUAAAAUCUUAUCCUAUGUUUUAUCAAAAAAUGGCAUCCUACAGCAAGGCUAAGAAUUUAGUGAAAGCAAAAGGAAAUAAGGCUUACAAAACAAAAAAAUUUUGAAAACAGAUUUAAAAGAAAACUUAAUCUACCUUAUGAUAGGUUAACUAUAAAAUUUUUACUUCUUUUUUGUUUUGACAUUUGAAAAUUAUGAAAGCAGGUAAUUUUGUCUUCUACUACUGAAAUACUUUAUUUAACACUAUAGAUGGUGUUAAUAUAAUGAAUACAGAACAUCACUGAGAAUCUUUCCUUUUUUUUUGUAGAGACAGUCUCACUGUACAGCCCUCGGUAGAGUGCCGUGGCGUCACACGGCUCACAGCAACCUCUAACUCUUGGGCUUAUACGAUUCUCUUGCCUCAGCCUCCCGAGUAUCUGGGACUACAGGCGCCCACCACAAUGCCCGGCUAUUUUUUUGUUGCAGUUUAGCCGGGGCUGGGUUUGAACCCGCCACCCUCGGCAUAUGGGGCCGGCGCCCUACUCACUGAGCCACAGGCACCGCCCAUCACUGAGAAUCUUAAUUAUACCUCUUGAGACCUCCCGCAUUCUACGAGUGUGUGUAAAUGCAUAAUCUAUUAUACAAAGAAAAAUAGCCACAUGAAUCACCAUGAUACUAUAAAAGAAAAUUUAAGAGAAAACAAAAAAUGUGUUAACCAUUAAACUUCAAUAUUAUAAUGAUUCUCAGAAGUAACAAUCUAUGUAGAAUCUGUAUUAAUGAAAAGGAAUUACGUGUAGCGCUUAAAAAUAAUGG